UUGCGAUAUAAAGCGAGCAGAUGGCGCAAAAAAACAAUCACAGUAAAAAUGUGAGUUGAAAGGUAAUGGCAGCCUAAGCCUAGUUCGGACUAGACGAGUAUUUUAGUUGACUACCGAGUAAUUUAGUGGCUAAACUACUCGCUACUGUACAGAAAUUGUUCGCAUUACGGUCCAGUACAGUCAGUACACAAAAGAGGUGAGGAGGAAAUUUCUGUGAUUAAGAAAAAUAAGUUUUGGGCACGAAAAUGGAUCGAUAGAAGAGAUAAACUAGAAGCUACUGAUUGUCUUCUGACGGAAUUAGCAUUGGAAGAUCCCAAAGAAUACUUCGAUAGUUUGAGAAUGUCCGAAAGUUGUGUGAAUUUUCUGUUAACGAAAAUACACUCCCAAAUUCAGCGUAAAUAUCAGAGAAGUGUCACUAAUGAUUCGACUAAUCUUAGAUAAAUAUGAAAAUGCUCGGAAUUAAAUAAAAAUAACAAUUUUGUUUUCCCUU